CACACACGCACAAUCAGCCAAACAGAACAGGUGCGGGAAGAGACACCUCUUCCAGUUUUCCUGUCUUGCGGCCUGGCGCAUCGACAAAACGGCCGCUUUCACGCACUUCCCCCCCCCACUUCUCCUCCCCUUCAGUGUCACUCGGCGCUCUCCUUCGGCUCUCAAAUCAUCGUUCUUCGCCCCUCCCCUUUCCUCCAUUUCUGGGGCUUCACUCCCAUGGCCGAUGCAACACCGCAGCAGGAGGAGCGCAUUGCUGCGCAGCGGGCACGCAUUCAAACCAAACUGCACGCGCGCGACGGGCAAAACGAGUCCGACGCUGGACUGCCCAACGGCGCGGUCUCGCGCUCGGAAGCCGAGAAGAAAGCGUUGGAUACUCGCUAUGAAAUGUGGGCUUUGCGCCACGCAAACGUCUCCGCCGCCACCAACAUCCGUGUUGCCGCCGAGGUGGCGGAGUCUCAGCGUCGUCAGCAUGCACAGGAUGUGCAGCAGCAACUGGGACAGCUCCAAGAAAGCAGCGGCGCCGACGCGCAACACGGCGCGCUGAACUUACAUUUCGAGGCGCUCUACCGCCUUGGCGUCCCUCACGAACUCCACGCAGCCCUCGAGGAGCAGCGCAAGGAAUGCGAAGCGCUCAUUAACGUGAAGGAGAAGCUCAUCUUGGAGCUGCGUGAGCAGCUGCACCAGCGGGAGGAGGAGUAUGUUGGUCUGCUCCAGAGGAACAAAGAGGAGGUCAGCCGACUCGUCGACACAAUGCGCGCUAGCACGGAUGACUACCUGCAGCAGUACACAGCGAAGCUGCAGGACGUGGAGAAGACAUACGAGGCAGAGCGCAGGGCAUACUUAGAUCGGUGUGCCGAGGAAGUAAAGGAGCUCGUCAAGACGCGGCGCACGAAGGAGAUGGAGUACCGCAAGCAGCGCGAGCAGAAGCUGGCAGAGGCGCAGCAGAACCUCGACGAUCGAUACGAGUCAGGCUACGAGGAUUUCAACGAUGUGAAGCGCAAACACCAGUCAGACGUGCACGCGUUGCGCGAGGAGCUAGAGAAGUCAAAGGCCGACUACCUUCUCAACGGCGAGCGCCUCACGUACAACUUGCAGGUGCUGCGGGAGCGCGUGAAAGAGAACCGCAUCGCACAAGCGCAGUACAAGAAGAAGAUCGCGCGACUGCAGGACACGCUCGCGACGCUGCUCGCGCGCUACCAGGACGCGGAGAAGCGGUUUCAGCGCACGAACAACGAUUUGACAAAGCAGCUGCACCGGUUGAAUCAGCAGUACACCGACACCCAAGGCAAGUUUGCGACGUUCGAGAAAAAGGAUAAAACGAAGUAUCUGCAGCUGUGGAAGCUCCACCACGACAAGUGCCAAGCGCUUGCGCAGGAGUGCUUACAGGCGGAUCGUGUCGUGUAUGAGGAGCUCCUGCAGAUGCCGUGGCAGCCGCCGGCGCUGCAUUACUGGCCUCGCGAGGAGAUGGGGGUGGAGGCGCAGAAGGACGAGCUGGACGAGCGCCCUGAAGAGUCGCGGGAGGUGGAGAUGUCGGAGGCGGCGCAGAUGCUGUUCAGCAUCCUCAAGUCGCAGGCGUCAUUCCUAGUCGACAGCAACGUGCGGGAGGCAAUCCGGUCUGUCCAAGGCACGACGGCAGAGCAGGCAGAUGUGGAGGGCAUUCUGACAACGUUGGGGCUCAACCGCACAAGCGACGUGGAGGACAUGUUGGAGUAUUUUCUAGUGGAAAACGAGGAUGAGACGGUCGCUCUCAUCAACCCGCAGGAAGCACUCAAGGCGCUGCAGGCCUACCUUAGCCACCGCGCUGCGGCGGAGGAGAAGGCGAUGGCGACGAGAGCUGAAACAGCGAAGAACAAAAACGCCAACGAGACGCGGACUGCCGAAAAGCGGCGUGCGGCAGAGAGGGACUACUGGCGCAACAUGGCCGAGACGGUGCCGAAGGACCACCUGCAGGUCUGGGAGGCACUGGAGGACGGCCUUAGUCAGUACCUCGCGCAGCUGCAGCAGCGAAAGCAGCUCAUCAGCGACACCGACACGAUACGAGCCCACAACAAGGAGCUCAAAGACCUGAUUCGUCAGUACAUGAACAGCGCCAUCAACUAUGAGCUCUACGCCCCACCCCGUCUUGUCACGCAGGGCAUGUCCUAUUCCUCACCGGAAUCCUGAGGAGGGGCAUUUCGUGGAAUAGGCAGUGCACAUGGCGUAGGGUGUCUGUCUGUGUGGACUGCUGCGCUUGUCUGCAGCGUAUGCGUUGCGCGGUGCUGCUGGUUGCUGUUCGUCUGCUCUUUUUAUUCUACGAUGAUGUAGACUUGCUUGUACGCCUGUGCACUCGCACGGGGCUUUGCGCGCGUGUGUUUUCCUUUUGCCGUGUCGCCUUCUCGGCUUCUCUUGCGCUACUUCUCCUUCCUUCCAACUUUCCCAUGUACACUCAAACACCAGCACCCCCCCCCUGCGAGGUGAACAAGAG
rnacentral:misc_RNA from 1 species